rnacentral:rRNA from 1 species
UACGUAGGGGGCGAGCGUUGUCCGGAUUUACUGGGCGUAAAGCGUGCGCAGGCGGUUCGUUGUGCCUGAUGUGAAAGCCCCGGGCUCAACCUGGGAAUGGCAUUGGAAACUGGCGAGCUAGAGUGUGGCAGAGGGGGGUGGAAUUCCGCGUGUAGCAGUGAAAUGCGUAGAGAUGCGGAGGAACACCGAUGGCGAAGGCAGCCCCCUGGGCUGACACUGACGCUCAGGCACGAAAGCGUGGGGAGCAAACAGG